ACUCUAUAAGAUUUUGGUCCGUCAAUUAUGCCCCACAUUAAUUUUAAUUCCUACCUGUAAUUAUUGUCUUGGGGACAUAUUAUGUGUGGCGCAGGAAGUCUCCCGGGGGACACGUGGAGAUGGCACUCAGCGGGUCAGACAGCAUCUCUGGACAGAAGGAAUAGGUGACAUUUCAGGUCGAGACCCUCACUCUGAAGAAGGAUCCCGGGUCUCUCUUUGUUCUUGGUGGCUCCUGAAAGGAAUUGGAGAAUAGAAGCCAAUACACGUUCAUCUUUAUUUUCCUGAGAGGGAAGACGUCGUCAAAAUCUCUAUGCAGAAUAGCAAAACGGUGAAACAAUCAUCUGUCAAUUCCCUGUAGGUUUGGACAUCUUGUCACACUUGCAAGAUUAUGUGAAAUGAGCUUCACGUGUACAUCGCUGAGACGGAAAGCUUCAUUGGAAAAUACUGUUGCAGAGACUGGAAGCUUCAUUGGAAAUGCUGGAGAAACUCAGCGGGACAGGCAGCAUCUCUGGAGAGAAGGAAUGGGUGACGUUUUGGGUCAAGACCCUUCUUCAGACUGAUCUUUUCUUUGCUCAGUCAGCUGUCGAUCAAAGAGCAAAUGAUACCACACAUGGUGCGUUCAAUCACCAAGCUGAUGACCAAAGUUUGUGAGGCAUAGAAACAAGGAACUGCAGAUGCUGGUCUACAACAAAAAAAGACACAAAAUGCUUGAGUAACCAGCAGGUCAUGCUGCCUGAUAUGCUGAGUUCCUCCAGCAUUUUGUGUUUUUGUUUUAAAGUUUCUGAAAUGCCUGGUUAUAAUUAAUUAACGUGUGGUGGAAACAAAUAAUCAUCUGUUAUUAAAUGGAUUUCCAAAUCAGUGCUUCUUAAAUUGACAAAACAUUGUUAGCUUGUAAUAACUUGACAGCUGAGAGGCCUUUUCACAAUUAAAAGAUGUUUAAAGGCUUUCACU